AUUGAACGCUGGCGGCAGGCCUAACACAUGCAAGUCGAGCGGAUGAAGGGAGCUUGCUCCUGGAUUCAGCGGCGGACGGGUGAGUAAUGCCUAGGAAUCUGCCUGGUAGUGGGGGAUAACGUCCGGAAACGGGCGCUAAUACCGCAUACGUCCUGAGGGAGAAAGUGGGGGAUCUUCGGACCUCACGCUAUCAGAUGAGCCUAGGUCGGAUUAGCUAGUUGGUGGGGUAAAGGCCUACCAAGGCGACGAUCCGUAACUGGUCUGAGAGGAUGAUCAGUCACACUGGAACUGAGACACGGUCCAGACUCCUACGGGAGGCAGCAGUGGGGAAUAUUGGACAAUGGGCGAAAGCCUGAUCCAGCCAUGCCGCGUGUGUGAAGAAGGUCUUCGGAUUGUAAAGCACUUUAAGUUGGGAAGAAGGGCAGUAAGUUAAUACCUUGCUGUUUUGACGUUACCAACAGAAUAAGCCCCGGCUAACUUCGUG
rnacentral:rRNA from 1 species